AUACGAAAGGUGCAAGCGUUGUUCGGAUUUACUGGGCGUAAAGGGCGCGUAGGCGGCGAUGUAAGUCAAAUGUGAAAGUCCUCGGCUUAACCGGGGAAGUGCAUCUGAAACUGCAUUGCUUGAGUAUGGGAGAGGAAAGUGGAAUUCCCGGUGUAGAGGUGAAAUUCGUAGAGAUCGGGAGGAAUACCGGUGGCGAAGGCGACUUUCUGGACCAAUACUGACGCUGAGGCGCGAAAGCGUGGGGAGCAAACAGGAUUAGAAACCCUAGUAGUCC
rnacentral:rRNA from 1 species